UGAGGUUUAAAAGAAGGUGCAGCUGAAGACAGACGGCCAGUUGGCCUUGCAAGGUGAGGGAAAACACGAGUGUUUACGAGCCUUAGGAAUCACACUUACCAAGCAGCUGAUCAUUACCUCUAAGAUGCAGCAUCAGCGAGUCAUCCUCUACAUGAUCCUCAGUGUGGUCGCCGUUCUCGUCGCCGACGCCCACCACAGCUACUACUACAAAUGGAGAUCCCACCACUACCAUAGGCCCCAAUGGAAAGUGAGAUACUUCUAUUACGAGCCAGGAACAGGAAAAAGUUUCAUGCCCAUGCAGAAAUAUCCUGUGUUCAACCACAAGAAACCAAAUCAAUGCCAGGACACACCAUGGAUGGAGGAAACCUUCAUCCAGGAAAUGGAGAAAAAGAGCCAGAGGUGCCUUCUAUCCUAGACGUCGUAGAUGUGAGACACGGUAUCAGAGCUUCAUAAACGUUUACUACCAUGACGGAUGGUAACGUAUUCUUCGUUGGUGGCUAUGAGAAGACAAGCCUGUGUGAGGAGUCAUCUACAGGCACCACCAUUGAUACCAGAACUACCAGCAUCACCACUACCAGUAGCACCACCAGCAACUACCACCACCACCACCAGCAACUACCACCACCACCAGCGACUACCACUACCACCAGCAACUACCACCACCACCACCAGCAACUACCACCACCACCACCAGCGACUACCACUACCACCAGCAACUCAGACAUGAACCGUGAUGAGGAACCAUGCUAGGCUCAACCAUCAAACUUCUCAUCACUACAUUAUUACAAAAUCUUGUACUACAAAAAUUAACAAUAUAUAAAAAAAUUUGUUACUGUGCAGUACUUUUAAUAUGAAUAAAGUUUUAUACAUCA